rnacentral:lncRNA from 1 species
UCUUAAAUUUCACUUCUUUGUCUGUUCUCUCACGUUUUUUUCCCUUCAUUUUAUAGCCUGUCAAACAAGAUUUCUGACAAAUUCACAACGAUUGAAUACUGUUUUGCAGUCUUCACUGCUGUCACUAAUGACUUCUACUGUACAUAUUCUUCAGUGUUUCCUGUUAGAUUCACAAGAAUUAAUGUGUUCAAAGGAAAACCUUUGUUGAGAACAGAAUACAGAACUGAUGUCCUGUCACUGUCCUGUCUUGCUUGCUUUGGAUUUCAAACUAAUCAAAGCUGAGUAAAGGUUGGUAAUUUUCUUAAGAAAAAGAAAGUAUGAUAAUCGUGGCUGAAAUAUGUUACAUCUAAUGAUCUAAAAAGCUGAAUUUACUAGAAAGGAUUAUGUAUGUAAUUCCCUCCAUUUUUCCUUUUUUUUUUUUUUUUUUUUUUGCUUUGAUUACUUUUCUGUUUAUUUCCUUUCUAAAAAGUAAAGUGAAAGAAAGAUACACAGCACAGAAGAGAAGUUCAGAAUAAGACUGGGAAGC